GACGAACGCUGGCGGCGUGCUUAACACAUGCAAGUCGAACGGAAAGGUCCGGCGUUUGUGGCGUGCUCGAUAGGCGAACGGGGGAGUGACACGUGAGUAACCUGCCCUUGACUUUGGGAGAAAUCCAGGAAACUGGGGCGAAAACCGGAGAGGAGCUCCUGCUGCAUGGGGGGGGUUGGAGAGAUUCGGCUGUUUGGGAUGGUGUCGCGGGUUAUCAGCUUGUUGGGGGGGUAGGUGCUUACCAAGGCUAUGAAGGGUAGGCGGCCUGGGAGGGUGGCCGGCCUCCUUGCUACUAAGAUACGGCCCAGACUGCUACGGGCGGCAGCAGGGGGAAACAUUGCGCAAUGAGCGGACGCCUGAUGUGGCAGCGCCGCGAGCGGAAUGCCGGCUUUCGGGUUGUAAACCACUUUCGCCUGUGACGAGGCGUGCGUGACGGUACUGGGUAAAAAAGCACCGGCUAACUACGUG
rnacentral:rRNA from 1 species